CAACAUCCGUCCAUGAGUGAGUUUUUGGGGCGAACAUAUCCUGCUUCUGACCAACUGGUUGCAUUAUAAUUUAGGUAGGCUUUAGGAUGGUUCGCAAUAUAUUCAGUAGUAGGGAAACCUUCAGGAUCACAACCAAGCACGCUACUGGAAUCAGAAGAGUCUUGAUAAAUUCUGACAUAAUCCACAUACAUUGUUUGAGGAAACGUUAAUUCGUACCAAUAAAAAUAAAUCCAAGUAGGAGAAAUACCAAAGUUAAGGACGACGAUCAUGGGUUCUUCACUAACAGGUCGAGAAGCUAUGUUUCCGUUUUGGCCCACAGCUGGUUGACGCAUUGUCCAUGUAUACUCAUCACCAACAAACCAAGAAAUAAGCGCAUCCGGACCACUUCCAGGUUUAUAAUCAAAACCAUACUUUUGAUAAGCAUUACCGCUAAGCCAAGAAUUAUUUAAUUGACUAGCACAAGACAAAGCCUGCUGAUAAACACCACCGGCCCAACCGUUCAUUGCUGAAACACUUUGAUUGUAGAUGGUAACGAAAUCGUAAUUGGGAUACAUAUAGAGGUCGAAAGGAGCAUAUUGUGCUGAUUGAGAAACGACAGGCAUGGUUUCCAAGUAAAUAGAUCCAUUGUAAGGAAUACCACUGCCGAAUGUACCUUCCAAGGCAUCAAUUUCAGGUCCUCCACGACCUGUACCAACAUUGGGAUGAUCUUCACCCUUACAAACACAUUGGUUUAAGCGUUGUCCACCCAAAUAUGAAAUGCCACUAGGAUCCGACUGAUUAGGAGUAAUUCCGGCAUCACAUGAAUUAUAAGAAUAAGGCCAGACGCCAUCAGAUGUUGCAAGGUAUCCUGGACGAACCAAAUUACCUAUAGUCCAAAUACCUGGCCAAAAACCAGGAAUAUAAGGGGAGCCUCCUAAGGAUGCAGAUACCUCGAUUCUACCACCCUUAAAGCAUAAUUUAUUCCAGGUGGUAACCAUGCCGCUACGGAAAUUAAGAUCAUGAUUGUAAAACGCAUCCAUACGAAGACGAAGUGUUCCGUUUGCCGUAGUGGGCGUAUCAGCGUCGUAGUAUUCAUAAUCGGUAGUUGCAGC